GCAGCUGAGUAAAUAUUUUCCCUAUCUCUCUGCCUACACUUAUGUUUGGUGAAAUAUAAUAAGGCACCCCCACCACCACCAGUCAUAAACCAAGAAAAAAGACAGAAUGGUACUGGCGCUGUGUGGAGACCCCUCUUGGUGUCCCGGAGAAGCUGGUCUGAUAAAAUGUGUCUGUGGGAAAGGGAACUCGAGAGCCACCUUUGGAUGUUUGUGCUGCCCUUGACCAUGGCAGUGCCAGUGCCGCCGGGUUCUGAGCCCUUACGCUUCGGAGCCAGAGAAGAAUGUUACCAUCAGAGCCAUCCCUCUUGUAUGUGUAAAAAUCUUUUUUGUCUCCUGGCAGGUGAUCUUUUUUUUUCCUAGAAACCAAUUAGCUACUAAAAUUAAACAUGCUCUCUUUAAAUGAA
rnacentral:lncRNA from 1 species